rnacentral:rRNA from 1 species
GGGAGUGACGUCAAUCAUCAUGCCCUUACUGACCUGGGCUACACACGUGCUACAAUGGUUGGUACAACGAGUUGCGAGUCGGUGACGGCGAGCUAAUCUCUUAAAGCCAAUCUCAGUUCGGAUUGUAGGCUGCAACUCGCCUACAUGAAGUCGGAAUCGCUAGUAAUCGCGGAUCAGCACGCCGCGGUGAAUACGUUCCCGGGCCUU